AGAAACAAGUAUGAAAGGUGGGCACUGUUAUUGUUCACAUUCUACAGGUGAGCAGAAUGAAACUCAGAAAACCUCAGCCAUUUGCCCAGGGGCACACAGUCAGAGAGGCCACUAGAUUGGAACCAAAAGACAGAGGAUUCCGUAGAUCAGCUACGGCGUUCUCAAACUACACCCUGUGCACCCCUCAGUGACCUGCUGAGCCAGCCUUCGCGUCUAGGAUCUAAUCUUAUCGGCCCCAUCAGCACUUGUCACAGCCUUUUUUAUGGUCUGUGUACUCUGACAUGUGUCUGUAUUGGUAGUGACGUGCCUUCAUACUGACAAUGUUUGCUGAGCGUCAGGGAGGGGCCCUUGUUUAUUAAUUUAUUAUCCAGCAAACACACCACGAGGCUGCUGUAGGCCAGGCCCGUGCCGGCUGUGGAGGCCCUGGGGCCAUGCUUAGGACAUACUGCCGACAGUGAGGGUCCCGGUGCGAAGUCCAGGGCAUGGUGGGUUGGGGCAGAGAAGCCAGUCCGAGAGGGAGACCCGGUGUCCCGGUUGCUGGCACUCAAGUUCAGAGAGGUCACCUGAUGUGCCCAGAGUCCCACGGCAGGAUGCUGGAAUGUGGGAUUCAGCGCAAAGGAAUGUGGGAUUCAACCCCUACCUUCUCCUUGAGUCAAAGUCCGAAGUAGGGGAGACCCACGUUGCCUGGGAGCGCCCAUGGAAGAUGGCUUCAUAGCUAAAGCCGGCGGGUGCCCCCAGACACCCAAGGCCCGAAACCGUGGGGGACAUGAGGAUGAGAGGAGGGGCUGCUGCUGUUGGUGGCAUGUGGACACAGCUGGACUGGGUCUUGAGGCCCAGCUGAGUGGAGGUGAGAGCAGACCAGAGGCCCUAGAGAAGGUGGAGGGUGGGGGCAGGCCUGGUGGGGGUGGGCCACUGAGCCCUCGGGGGGCACUGGUUCUUCUCUUAAAAGGGGUAUGAGGCAUCUCAUGGCCACACCAGCUUGGCACUUUGGAAAAUCUGCAACUCCAUGUAUCUGUCAAGUUCGAAGCUUGCAGAUGCAAGAAGGUUCUACUUCUGUGGUUUCCAGAAUACAAAGGCAGGGGUGGGGAUGGGGGGAAAAGAGCCCCGGGGGCUCCAGGUGCCGAUGCUCCUGGCCAUUGCCUCCUUGGGGAGGAGCAAGUCCAGGGGUGCAUCCACCUCUGGAAGUGUCCCUCUAUCCCACGGGAUCCCAGCUCGGCAGGCCAGAGAACCUGUGCCUUUCUCAUCAGCCUGCAGAGGAGGGAGCUCCGGGAGCUGGCUCCUGGGUGCAGCUCCUGGCAGCCUCAGUCUGGGUGGCACUGGCUCCGCCCUGCUGGGUGCUGGGGUCCCAGUGGAUGCGGGUGGGGCCAGGUGAGCCCCUAGAGGAGGCAGGGACUUCUCUUUCCGCUGCCUGAGGCUCACACACCAACCUCCUGCCCACAAACAAAGACCCAGAGAGGAGAGGCAUCUUGCUUGAGGUCACACAGCAAGUCCAGCCCAGGCAGGAACCAGAGGGAGUAUGGGGAGCUCAGUUCAGAGUCAGAUAAGGUGCCUGCUGGACAGUGUUCAGGAUGCCCCUUCCCUUGAGGAAGGAUGGCCCAAAGCCCCGGGCCAGAGACUAAGCACAGGAAAAGGAGACUCAGAAAGACCUGGGCACCAGUCCUGACUCUACCAUCAAACCAGCUGCGUGACCUUGAGUCAAUUGCUUAACCUCUCUGUUUCUUCCUCUAGGAAAUGGAGUGAAUCCAGCACUGCCCCCAUCAGGCUGCUCUAAGUACUGAGUGCUGAGCUGAAUGGAAAGGGCCAUUGGAGGGUCAGUGUCCCAGAUGCCCCCACCCCUGGUGUUCACUGGCCUCAUCCUCAGGCCUGCUAGUCCACUUAGAGCUCCCAUGACUCCUGGUCAAAGAGUGGAUUCUACUGACAGGUAGUGAGUUCUCUGUCGUGGGGUGUAUUCCAGACGGCAGGAUGUGGCUGAGAGGGUUGAGCCCCUGCCCUUCCUGGGCCUCCCCAAGGAGCCUCCUCCCAGCCAAGUGGGAUGGUCAGUGGUGUCCCACCCCUUCCAGGGGCUUCUCCUGCAGACAGUGGGGGCUGGAAAGAGAGAGAUCUGUUUACCCCCCAAAAUGCAGAAUAAAGAUCUAGCGAUGCUGCUGUUCAGGCCCCAAACCCGAGUAGCCUGCCCAUCUGUCUGUCAAGGGUGGGGCCAACAGAGUUCCCACUGUAGUGCAGUGGGAUUGGCAGCAUAGGUCAAGAGCGCUGGGACACAGGUUCGAUCCUGGGCCCGGCACAGUGGGUUAAGGAUACAGCUGUUGCUGCAGCUGUCACUCAGAUCUGAUCCCAGGCCCAGGAACUCCAUAUGUUGCAGGAUGGCUUGAAAAAAAAAGGGGGGGGGUCAGGGGCCAAGGGACUGUCGGGGCCAAAUGCUAAAGCCCCCCAGGCCCCAGAGGGACUUCAGCUGAGCUUGGGGCUCUACUUGUCCUCGUCCACAGCAGCCCCUUGCCCAGCACCUCCUGCUCCAGCUGGACCAGCUCAAGUUGAUGAAGCCAAAGAGCAUCAUAAACUCACAUGAGGGGCCCAAAUUAAUCUUGAUUUCAAGAGAAAAUGGGUCCUAGGAGCCUAUGACGCCCAUGACAAGGGACAGGGAUACUAGGUGGGUAGGUGGGCUGCCAAACUGGCUGGGCUCAGGGGUCAUGGCACUGGGCCACUGUAGCCCUGGCAUGAGGAACCUGCACUUUCUGAGGGAAGACAGGCCUACAUUACUGGGAAUGACCCAGAAGCCCCAGUUUCCCCAGGGAAACCCAGAUGCCCAGGGGCCCAGGACACGGGGCCCCACUGUGCCCACACACGCCUGAGCUCCCCAGGCCUCCUGUGGGCAGGGUGGGAGGGGAACGCCUGCCUGCCUAUCUCCUCCUGGGAGACCAAUUCCUGCCUUUUCUUUGCCUUUGUAGAAAGAAGGAGGGUGUAUGUCAGGCUUUGUCAAGACUGUCAGAGAUGACAGAGGGGCGGCUGAGGAGCUGCAGGUGAAGGUGCUGGGAUGGGGGGGUGGCCAGGUGCCCAGGGGUGAAGAGCUGGGGCAGGGGUGGGUGAGGGGGCCUUUGGCCCUGGAGCCAGGCACCCACACUGCCAGAGGUCAUGUCCUGCCCAUGCUGCCUGGGGUGGCUGCUGUGGGGACACGGGAAGUUUUACCUCCCUCUUGGGGACUUCUUGGGGCUCAUUGUGUGCCCUCUCCCUGCCCCUGGGUUUCAGCAGGAAUGACUCUUUAGUAAAGCUGCCAGCUUGCACGGUGCGCUCUUAAUUAGACUCUCCCCAGUUCUCUCCGGCCCCGGUCGUGAAUACUUAUAUGGAGCACCUGACAGGAUGAGGCCAGCGCUCCUGCUUUUCCUCCUGUGCCUCUGUCUGUCUCUCACCCUGGUCCCCUAUCCUCAUGCCACCUCCACUCCAGAAGCCGCAGUCACUGUCCUGACGUGCAUGCCCCCGCCUUGGUGCCCCUCCCUCUCCUCCACGGGAGCAGGAACCGAUCCACACGGCGGCCCUGAAGUGUGUGCUGAGGGUAGGGCAGGACCCCUGCUUGGAGAAGAGGCCUGCUGGGUGUGAAAUCAAAAGCAGCAGCCAUGGAGUUCCCGUUGUGGUGCAGUGGAAACAAAUCCAACUAGGAACCAUGAGGUUGCGUUUCCAUCCCUGGCCUCGUUCAGUGGGUUAAGGAUCUGGCGUUGCCAUGAGCUGUGGUGUAGGUGGCAGACGCGGCUUGGAUCUGGCGUUGCUGUGGCUCUAGCGUAGGCCGGCAGCUGUAGCUCUUAGUAGACCCCUAGCCUGGGAACUUCCAUUAGGUGCGACCCU
rnacentral:lncRNA from 1 species